GGGGCCAUGAUGUGAAAAAGGAGGGUGAAAAAGGCGAGGAUACCGAGAAAAUUGUGGAGCACAAACACAGACACUCUAUACUCUAGGCUACACUCUAUACUGUGGGGCUGGAGACAAAAUGGCGGACAAGACUCAGGCGUCGUAAAG